rnacentral:rRNA from 1 species
UACGUAGGCAGCGAGCGUUGUUCGGAGUUACUGGGCGGAAAGGGUGUGUAGGCGGUUGUUUAAGUUUGGUGUGAAAUCUCCCGGCUCAACUGGGAGGGUGCGCCGAAUACUGAAUGACUUCGAGUGCGGGAGAGGAAAGUGGAAUUCCUGGUGUAGCGGUGAAAUGCGUAGAUAUCAGGAGGAACACCGGUGGUGUAGACGGCUUUCUGGACCGUAACUGACGCUGAGACACGAAAGCGUGGAUAGCAAACAGG